rnacentral:misc_RNA from 1 species
CAGGAAUUGGUCUCCCUAAGAUGGUAUUUGGUCAUGGAUUCUUGACCAAGGAUGGUAUGAAGAUGGGUAAAUCACUGGGGAAUACACUCGAGCCAACAGACUUGGUUCAGAGGUUUGGACCUGAUGCAGUCAGGUACUUUUUCCUCAGGGAGGUAGAAUUUGGUAAUGACGGGGACUACUCAGAGGAACGGUUCAUCAGAAUGAUAAACGCAAAUUUAGCUAAUACAAUUGGUAAUCUUCUAAAUCGCACACUUGGACUUCUGAAAAAAAACUGCCAAUCAACUCUGGCGGUUGAUUCAGAUGUUGCGGCAGAAGGAAACGAAUUCAAGGCUGCAGUGGAGAAACUGGUAGAGAAAGCACGAGUGCACUAUCAAAAUUUGGAAUUAUCAGCAGCUUGCGAGACUGUGCUGGAGAUUGGUAAUGCUGGAAAUUUAUACAUUGAUGGACAAGCACCGUGGACUCUUUUCAAGCAAGG